rnacentral:rRNA from 1 species
GGCAAAAUGUACCCGUAACUUCGGGAUAAGGGUAGCCAGCGUUGUGAAGUCUGAACAGAUGGAGCAUAAGCUGGUCGCAGAGAAGAGGCCCAAGCGACUGUUUACCACAAACACAGGUGCCUGCUAAAGAGAAAUCUGACGUAUAGGUGCUGACACCUGCCCAGUGCCGGAAGGUUAAGGAAGGAUGUCCGGAGCAAUCCAAAGCAUUCGACCGAAGCCCCGGUGAACGGCGGCCGUAACUAUAACGGUCCUAAGGUAGCGAAAUUCCUUGUCGGGUAAGUUCCGACCCGCACGAAAGGUGUAACGAUUUGGGCACUGUCUCAACGAGGGACCCGGUGAAAUUGAAGUACCUGUGAAGAUGCAGGUUACCCGCGACUGGACAGAAAGACCCCAUGGAGCUUUACUGUAACCUGACAUUGGGUUCUGAUACAUCACGUACAGGAUAGGUGGGAGGCAUGGAAGCGAGGACGCUAGUCUUCGUGGAGCCGCCGUUGGGAUACCACCCUUGAUGUAUCGGAAUUCUAACCGUAGGAGUAACGAAACUCGGGACAGUGUCAGGCGGGCAGUUUGACUGGGGCGGUCGCCUCCCAAAGAGUAACGGAGGCGCCCAAAGGUUCCCUCAGCGCGGCCGGAAAUCGCGCGAAGAGUGUAAAGGCAGAAGGGAGCUUGACUGAGAGCCAAACACGGCGAUCAGGUACGAAAGUAGGGCUUAGUGAUCCGGUGGCAUCCAAGUGGAAGGGCCAUCGCUCAACGGAUAAAAGCUACCCUGGGGAUAACAGGCUAAUCUCUCCCAAGAGUCCAUAUCGACGGGGAGGUUUGGCACCUCGAUGUCGGCUCAUCACAUCCUGGGGCUGAAGUCGGUCCCAAGGGUUGGGCUGUUCGCCCAUUAAAGUGGUACGUGAGCUGGGUUCAGAACGUCGUGAGACAGUUCGGUCCCUAUCCAUCGCGGGCGCAAGAGAUUUGAAGGGGGCUGCUCCUAGUACGAGAGGACCGGAGUGGACGAACCAAUGGUGUACCAAUUAUCUCGCCAGAGGUAUAGUUGGGUAGCUACGUUCGGAAAGGAUAAACGCUGAAAGCAUCUAAGCGUGAAACCAGCCUUAAGAUGAGAUCUCUCAUAGAGUAAUCUAGUAAGACACCUUGGAGAAGACGAGGUUGAUAGGUCGGGAGUGUAAGUACAGUAAUGUAUUCAGCGGACCGAUACUAAUAUGUCGAGGGCUUGACUUA